rnacentral:lncRNA from 1 species
GUAGCACCAAAGUAAUUAAACAUAUCCAAAAUAAUGCCCAUACAUCAAAUGUCCAAAAUGUUCGAUAAUAAAAUAAUAUUAAUCCUUAUGUCGCUUAGCUAUGUAUCUCUCAAUGUCUUCCCUUCAAGUACUUCUGUGAUCCAUCAGAAUAAUGUGCCAUAUGAGCUCUGUACCAGUUCAUAUUGUAAGUCUAUGCCACUGCUCAGAAUUCCUCACCACUCC